CUGUAAGCCUGCGAAGGUGGCCUGUGAGGGCUGCUGGAGGUAUCAGAAGUGCGAAUGCUGACAUAAGUAACGAUAAAGCGGGUGAAAAGCCCGCUCGCCGGAAGACCAAGGGUUCCUGUCCAACGUUAAUCGGGGCAGGGUGAGUCGACCCCUAAGGCGAGGCCGAAAGGCGUAGUCGAUGGGAAACAGGUUAAUAUUCCUGUACUUGGUGUUACUGCGAAGGGGGGACGGAGAAGGCUAUGUUAGCCGGGCGACGGUUGUCCCGGUUUAAGCAUGUAGGCGGAGGUUC
rnacentral:rRNA from 1 species